UUUACGGGAGGCAGCAGUGAGGAAUAUUGGACAAUGGAGGUAACUCUGAUCCAGCCAUGCCGCGUGCAGGAAGACGGCCCUAUGGGUUGUAAACUGCUUUUAUAUAGGAAGAAACCUUUUCACGUGUGAGAAGCUGACGGUACUAUAAGAAUAAGGACCGGCUAACUCCGUGCCAGCAGCCGCGGUAAU
rnacentral:rRNA from 1 species